rnacentral:rRNA from 1 species
GUAGUCUCGCACAGAUGCAUAUCAAUAAGCGGAGGAAAAGAAACUAACAAGGAUUCCCCUAGUAACGGCGAGUGAAGCGGGAAGAGCUCAAAUUUGAAAUCUUAAAGGGUUUCCCUUUACGAAUUGUAGUUUAAAGAAGUGUUUUCUGUUGAGGUUUUGGUAAAAGUUCUUUGGAAUAGGACAUCAUAGAGGGUGAGAAUCCCGUAUUUGACCUUUACUUUCAACUUUGUGAUACACUUUCAAAGAGUCGGAUUGUUUGGGAAUGCAGUCCAAAAUGGGUGGUAAAUUUCAUCUAAAGCUAAAUAUUGGCGAGAGACCGAUAGCGAACAAGUACCGUGAGGGAAAGAUGAAAAGAACUUUGAAAAGAGAGUUAAACAGUACGUGAAAUUGUCAAAAGGGAAGCGUUUGACACCAGUGUUGUUUUUCUGAAAAUCAAUUAAAGAACUGUUUAUGCUAAGUUGUUUAGACUUUAUCAGCUAUCUGCUUAGUUUUGAGCUUUUCUUUAAUGCACUUUUCAGUUAACAAGUCAACAUCAAUUUCUUUUGCUGUAAAAAAGCUUGAGGAAGGUGGCUUGAGAUUCGUCUUAAGUGUUUAUAGCCUCUUGCCUAUGCAGUCGGAGAGAUUGAGGUCUGCAGCGUAGAUCCUUCGGGGCUAAAUGCAUUUGUGCUAAGUUAUAGCAUUUUAUAGACAACUUGUUGACUAUGAUUUGUCUUGUAGCUUACUCGCUUAUGUUAUUUUACCUACGCUUAGGAUGUUGACGCAUGAGAUAUACGC